UACGAAGGGGCUAGCGUUGUUCGGAAUUACUGGGCGUAAAGGCGCGCGCAGGGCGGUUCUUCAAGUCAGUGGUGAAAGCCCGGAAGCUCAACGUCCGGUAACUGCCAUUGAAACUGUAGAACUUAGAGGAUGAGAGAGGGUGAGUGGAAUUCCCAGUGUAGAGGUGAAAUUCGUAAGAUAUUGGGAAGAACACCGGUGGCGAAGGCGGCUACACUGGCUCAUUUCUGACGCUCAGGCGCGACAGACGUGGGGAUCGAAACAAGG
rnacentral:rRNA from 1 species